rnacentral:rRNA from 1 species
GGGAACAGUUUUAUCCAUUUAAAAGGGAUUCACACACUUUCUGAUCUUGAGAGCUAAGCAGGGUCAGGCCCGGUUAGUACUUGGAUGGGAGACCACCUAGAAAGACCAGAUGCUGUAGCGG